GGGGAUGUUUUGGAUUUGACUAAAAGGUUUGGUAGUAUGAGUUGCAGGCAGAGUGAAUCUCUUAAAACUUCUUUAAUAAAUGCAAAAAAUAAUAACUUUGCAAGUUCAAAUCUUGUAAUGGCUGCUUAGGUUAGCAGAGAGUUUUGUUGAAUUUUGCUUUGAGGUUCGGCUUACACUCUUUAAAGACAUCGAAGCUUGCCUAGGAAUGCUUCAAGUUGCGUUUUUAGGGACUUUUAAACUUGGAAGUAACUUGACGGUUCCGCCAGAGUCUCCGUCUCUUUACUCACCAAAACACUGGCUAAGCUUGUAGACACUUGUGGUAUUACUUUUAGGACGCGGGUUCGAGUCCCGCCAUCUCCAUGU
rnacentral:tmRNA from 1 species